rnacentral:rRNA from 1 species
UACGUAGGGUGCGAGCGUUGUCCGGAAUUAUUGGGCGUAAAGAGCUCGUAGGCGGUUUGUCGCGUCGACUGUGAAAACCUACAGCUUAACUGUGGGCUUGCAGUCGAUACGGGCAGACUUGAGUUCGGUAGGGGAGACUGGAAUUCCUGGUGUAGCGGUGAAAUGCGCAGAUAUCAGGAGGAACACCGGUGGCGAAGGCGGGUCUCUGGGCCGACACUGACGCUGAGGCGCGAAAGCGUGGGGAGCAAACAGG